rnacentral:rRNA from 1 species
UAAACUAUGAAGGAGUAUGUUGUGAACUAUGUUUACCUGCUGGUCAGUGAAGAAGGUGAAACUUAUGUAGGAUGUACUUCAGAUUUACGCAGAAGAGUAUCAGAGCAUAAGCAGGGACAUUCUCGGUCGACAAAAAAAAGACAGUGGCAUUUAGUAUAUUAUGAAGCUUAUUUAUGUAAGGAAGAUGCAACAAAGCGAGAAUGGCGACUUAAGCAAGAUGGACGAGCCAAGAGAUGGCUUUUGCAACGUGCAGAGAAAAGCAUGCAACAGGUUUGUGGUUUAAAGUAAGUGCGGGGGGUUGUAGGGCCUCUAAUAAAGUGAUCCAAGAUUAGAUAGCAGAAUUAUCUGGGAUAGGUAAGCCAUAGAAGGUGAAAGCCCUGUAUGUGAAAUCGAAAUUGGCGCUUAGAGGUACCUGAGUACCACGGGACACGAGAAAUCCCGUGGGAAUCUGGGAGGACCAUCUUCCAAGGCUAAAUACUCCUUGGCGACCGAUAGUGAACUAGUACCGUGAGGGAAAGGUGAAAAGAACCCCUGUUAGGGGAGUGAAAUGAGAACCUGAAACCAAUUGCCUACAAGCAGUUCGAGCCCUGCACUUACUUUACGAUGGAUUGAGAACAGUCUUGUGUUUUAUAUGCACAUUGUGCUGGGAAAUUGUUAUCCGUAGUAAAGUAAGUGCGGGGUGAGAGCGUGCCUUUUGCAUAAUGAGCCAGUGAGUUAAUCUAAGGUGCGAGGUUAAGCCGACGAGGUGUAGCCGUAGCGAAAGCGAGUCUGAACAGGGCGUAUAGUACAUUGGAUUAGACCCGAAGCCGAGUGAGCUAUCCAUGGGCAGGGUGAAGCUUGGGUAAAACCAAGUGGAGGCCCGAACCAGUAAAGGUUGAAAACUUUUUGGAUGACCUGUGGAUAGGGGUGAAAGGCCAAUCAAACUCGGUGAUAGCUGGUUCUCCCCGAAAUAUAUUGAGGUAUAGCCUCGGAUGUUCACUUGCGGAGGUAGAGCACUGAAAGGGCUAGGGGCCCCACCAGGUUACCAAACCCUAUCAAACUCCGAAUGCCGUAAGUUAAGAGUCCGGGAGUCAGACUACGGGUGACAAGAUUCGUGGUCGAGAGGGAAACAGCCCAGACCGCCGGCUAAGGUUCCAAAACGAUGCUUAGUGGAAAAGGAAGUGUGAUUACGAAGACAGCCAGGAGGUUGGCUUAGAAGCAGCCAUCCUUUAAAGAAAGCGUAAUAGCUCACUGGUCUAGUGGUUCUGCGCUGAAAAUGUACCGGGGCUCAAGCACAUUACCGAAGCCACGGGUGCGAUGCUUUUGGCAUUGCGCGGUAGGGGAGCGUUCUCUUAUGGGAUGAAGGCAGAUCGGGAGGUCUGUUGGACUUUAGAGAAGUGAUUAUGCUGGCAUGAGUAACGAUAAAACGGGUGAGAAACCCGUUCGCCGUAAACCCGAGGUUUCCUGGGUAAAGCUAAUCUGCCCAGGGUUAGUCGGCCCCUAAGGCGAGGCUGAAAAGCGUAGUCGAUGGGAAACAGGUUAAUAUUCCUGUACCCGCUAAUUGAUCGUUUGAGUGACGGGGGGACGCAGGAGGGUAGGUCAUCCGGGUGUUGGAAAUCCCGGUUCAAGCCCGUAGGCUGAAGAUUCAGGCAAAUCCGGAUCUUCAUAAGGCCGAGAGGUGAUGACGAGUCUUAAUAGACGGAAGUGACUGAUCCCAUGCUGCCAAGAAAAGCCUCUAAGCGAGAUCAAAUGGUGGACCGUACCGUAAACCAACACAGGAGGGUGGGGAGAGUAUCCCAAGGCGCUUGAGAUAACUCUAGCUAAGGAACUCGGCAAAAUGACCCCGUAACUUCGGGAGAAGGGGUGCUCCUCAUGGUGAUUAAAUUUACUUUAUGAGCCAUGGGGAGUCGCAGCGAAAUGGCGGUGGCGACUGUUUACUAAAAACACAGGUCUCUGCGAAGUCGUAAGACGACGUAUAGGGACUGACACCUGCCCGGUGCCGGAAGGUUAAGGGGAGAUGUUAGGAGCAAUCCAAAGCAUUGAACCGAAGCCCCGGUAAACGGCGGCCGUAACUAUAACGGUCCUAAGGUAGCGAAAUUCCUUGUCGGGUAAGUUCCGACCUGCACGAAUGGUGUAACGAUCGCCGCACUGUCUCGGCUAGAGACUCAGUGAAAUUGAAUUCUCGGUGAAGAUGCCGAGUACCCGCAGAAAGACGGAAAGACCCUGUGCACCUUUACUACAGCUUGACAUUGGAUUUUGGGCUAUGAUGUGUAGGAUAGGUGGGAGGCUUUGAAACCUGUACGCCAGUAUGGGUGGAGCCAUCCUUGAAAUACCACCCUUUGUAGUCUAGAGUUCUAAUCCCGAUCCUGUGAAGCCAGGCGGGAGACAUUGUCUGGCGGGUAGUUUGACUGGGGCGGUCGCCUCCUAAAGAGUAACGGAGGCGUGCAAAGGUUCCCUCAGGCUGAUUGGAAACCAGCCGUUGAGUGCAAAGGCAUAAGGGAGCUUGACUGUGAGAGAGACAUCUCGAACAGGAACGAAAGUUGGUCUUAGUGAUCCGGUGGUCCCGCAUGGAAGGGCCAUCGCUCAUCGGAUAAAAGGUACGCCGGGGAUAACAGGCUGAUCGCGUCCAAGAGUUCACAUCGACGACGCGGUUUGGCACCUCGAUGUCGGCUCAUCACAUCCUGGGGCUGGAGCAGGUCCCAAGGGUACGGCUGUUCGCCGUUUAAAGUGGUACGCGAGCUGGGUUUAAAACGUCGUGAGACAGUUUGGUCCCUAUCUUCUGUGGGCGAAGGAGACUUGAGAGGGUCUGUUCCUAGUACGAGAGGACCGGAGUGGACGAUCCUCUAGUGGGCCUGUUGUCGCGCCAGCGGCAUAGCAGGGUAGCUAUGAUCGGUAAGGAUAACCGCUGAAAGCAUCUAAGCGGGAAGCCAUCCUCAAGAUAAGGUCUCCCUUUACGUCUUCGGACGUAGCUGAAGGACCCUGGAAGACUACCAGGUAGAUAGGCCGGAAGUGUAAGCAUGGCAACAUGUUCAGCUAACCGGUACUAAUAGUCCGUGCGUCUUAACCUA